AUACGAAGGGUGCAAGCGUUACUCGGAAUUACUGGGCGUAAAGCGUGCGUAGGUGGUUGUUUAAGUCUGUCGUGAAAGCCCUGGGCUCAACCUGGGAAUGGCGAUGGAAACUGGGCGACUAGAGUGUGGCAGAGGGUAGUGGAAUCCCUGGUGUAGCAGUGAAAUGCGUAGAGAUCAGGAGGAACAUCCGUGGCGAAGGCGACUGCCUGGGCCAACACUGACACUGAGGCACGAAAGCAUGGGGAGCAAACAGGAUUAGAUACCCUGGUAGUCCACGCCCUAAACGAUGCGAACUGGAUGUUGGGUGCAAUUUGGCACGCAGUAUCGAAGCUAACGCGUUAAGUUCGCCGCCUGGGGAGUACGGUCGCAAGACUGAAACUUAAAGGAAUUGACGGGG
rnacentral:rRNA from 1 species